GGAGUGCUGUGUGCGAAAGCACAGGCUGAGACCGUUAAUUCGGGAUCCGCGGAACCUGAUCAGGCUAAUACCUGCGAAGGGAACAAGAGUAAA
rnacentral:ncRNA from 1 species